rnacentral:rRNA from 1 species
UACGUAGGGUGCGAGCGUUAAUCGGAAUUACUGGGCGUAAAGCGUGCGCAGGCGGUUGGCAAAGUCAGCUGUGAAAGCCCCGGGCUCAACCUGGGAAUGGCGGUUGAAACUAGUCGACUCGAAUCUGGCAGAGGGGGGUGGAAUUCCACGUGUAGCAGUGAAAUGCGUAGAGAUGUGGCGGAACACCGAUGGCGAGGGCAGCCCCCUGGGCUGAGAUUGACGCUCAGGCACGAAAGCGUGGGGAGCAAACAGG